UUGAAAUCCUUAGGAUGUUGCUGGCCUCUUAGGGGGCAUGUGCACUCCGCCUUUUCAAUUCACCUGUGAACUUAUUGUAGGCCAGACCGUAAAAAGUCUGUGUCUAUGUUUUUCUAUACACACUAUAAAAAAGUCUUAUGGAAUGAAUUAAUCAUAAAAUUAAUA
rnacentral:misc_RNA from 1 species